AGUGAACGCUGGCGGUAGGCCUAACACAUGCGAGUCGAACGGCAGCACAGGAGAGCUUGCUCUCUGGGUGGCGAGUGGCGGACGGGUGAGGAAUACAUCGGAAUCUACUUUUUCGUGGGGGAUAACGUAGGGAAACUUACGCUAAUACCGCAUACGACCUACGGGUGAAAGCAGGGGAUCUUCGGACCUUGCGCGAUUGAAUGAGCCGAUGUCGGAUUAGCUAGUUGGCGGGGUAAAGGCCCACCAAGGCGACGAUCCGUAGCUGGUCUGAGAGGAUGAGCAGCCACACUGGAACUGAGACACGGUCCAGACUCCUACGGGAGGCAGCAGUGGGGAAUGUUGGACAAUGGGCGCAAGCCUGAUCCAGCCAUACCGCGUGGGUGAAGAAGGCCUUCGGGUUGUAAAGCCCUUUUGUUGGGAAAGAAAUCCAGCUGGUUAAUACCCGGUUGGGAUGACGGUACCCAAAGAAUAAGCACCGGCUAACUUCGUGCCAGCCGCCGCAGUAA
rnacentral:rRNA from 1 species